rnacentral:rRNA from 1 species
CAAUAGCGUAUAUUAUAGUUGUUGCAGUUAAAAUGCUCGUAGUUGAAGUUCGGAUGCAGCAGAGCUUGGAAACGCUGUUAUGGUGCUUCCGUUGCUUUUGCUUGUCCACAGUGCGUUGCAAGUACGUAUGUGCUUGUGCGUGCAUUUUACUUUGAGAAACAUAGGGUGUUCCACGCAUGUUACGGCAUGAAUAUUCCAGCAUGGGAUAAUCUGGUACGACUUCCAAUCUGCCAUUUUGGUUCGUAGGUUGGAAGUAAUGAUUAAUAGGGACUGUCGGGGGCAUUGGUAUUUGACUGUCAGAGGUGAAAUUCUGAGAUUCGUUGAGGACCAACCACUGCGAAAGCAUUUGUCAAGGAUGUCUCCAUUAA